ensembl:lncRNA
CAUCAUUUAACUAAGAUGAAGAAACUAGAACUCUGAACAGCAAAGCCACUGGCCUGAAGUGAACAUCAAGUAAGUGGCAGAGCAGGGGACUGGGAUCCAGACCUGCUCUGUCUCAGUCACCAGGCCGAAGUGGCCCCUUUGCAAGGAGUACGUGGAGCCUGUCAGCAACUCCUGGCUAUCUGUCACAGGAGGCUGUCACAGCCCAAUUGGAAUUCACUUGAUCUUUCCUUCUGCCCUGUUGGCUGAGCAAACGUGUGCAUUCGGCAUUUCAGCCAUGGAGAUUCUCUGACACCACUUUGCUCUUGCCUAAAAUGGAAACUUCAGAGGUUUUGCAGAAAAAUUCCACAUUCUCCUGCAACCUAAAACCAACAGCUCUUUGUUGAAUAUUUACCGUAUGCUGAGUGCUGUCAUGCCCUCAAGAAACUUAUGAUGUUCUUGGUGAAAUGAAACAGACACAUGUGAAACAAUCUGAGAACAGCAAAGCACAAUAAAUGUUGUCAGC